CUGACUAUUUUUAGUUAACUCGAGGAGUGUUUGAUGUAUGAUUGAAGCACGUGAUGGCACUCGGUAGUUAAAACUUCAAAAGACUCCAGUCACCAGCGGACUUGGACUUGAGGUUCUACUUCUCCAGCGGAUUUGCAGACUCGGCUCCGGCCAACAGGACUCAACUUCCGAUCGACCAUUGGGCCUCGAUCCCUGGACACGCUGAUCAUUGUACACCAGGUCUCGAACUCCGGACUCACUAAUGACAGGACCCUAAACACUAGGCCUCAAACUCUGAUCUCAUCCAUUCUUGAACGCAGGACGUCAUUGGGACUCGUUCCACCUGUCCACGCAUAGGUCCAACUCCGGAACCCUGUAGACAAUUCAGUAGAACAACAUGUAUUGCCCAGUCUUAAUUAUCAUUCAGAAGAUGGUGCUGAGCUGCCUUUCUGAUGUGCUGUCAUCCUGCAUUUGUGUUAAUACUUAUAAUCAUGACAGCAAUUAUCAAGGACACUGUUAUGUAAGCAAUGCCUUGUCACAAUGUAGUUCUGGCCUUUUCUGCAUCAGUGAGACCUGAGGUAGAUUGGUGGACUGCUUUGGUGAGCACCUUUGCUUCGUCCACUACAAAAGGUGCUGCCUGACCUGCUGAGUGUUCCCUACAUUUGCUGCUCUUAAUUCCACUACAUUAGUUAACUUAUUCUGUCUUCCUGCACAGUUUAUGUGUUCGCUUAGAGAAAAAUAACAAGUUAAGUACACCAGAGUGGAUAUGGGAGUUUUUAUAGCCUAGAGAUUCCUUUGCGCAACACCCUAGCACUCUUUUUUAAAGUGUCAGAAAGAACUAUCUUCAUUUGCAAAGUUUGCAAAGUACAGGAGUGAGAUAGAUUGGCUAGUUAAGCUUGUCGCAACAACCUUGCACUAAUAUCACUAAGAGUAAGGAAUCGAUUGUGGAGUUCAGAAAGGGGAAGUCGAGGGAACACACACCAGUCCUCAUCGGGGGAUCAGCAGUGGAAAGGGUGAGCAGUUUCAAGUUCCUGGGUGUCAACGUCUCUGAAGGUCUAUCCUGGGCCCAACAUAUUGGUGCAUUUAUGAAAAAGACAUGCCAGUGGCUACAUUUUGUUCGGGGUCUGAGGAGAUUUGACAUGUCAGCAACGAUUCUAGCAAAUUUCUAAGAUGUACCAUGGAGAGCAUUCUAACCGGUGGCAUCACUGUCUGGCGUGGAGGGACCGCUGCGCAGGAUCAGUAAGAGCUGCAGAGGUUGUAAACUCAGCCAGCUCCAUCAUGGGCACUAGCCUCCCCAGCAUCGAGGACAUCUUCAUAGGGCAAUGCCUCAAAAAGGCAAUAUCUAUGGUUAAGGACCCUCACC